CCAAAGGACUGCCCUUGUGAAAAUUCUGGAUCAGCCAGCUUGGGGUAGCUGUGAAGAUGAGUAGCAUCCUAGAUAUGCGAUACUGCAUGCCAAAAAACAGAGAUCUGUAGGUUGCUCUGAUGAGCUGAAUGACCCAGAAGAUAAAAGAGGAAGGUUGGGAUCAUUGUAGAACCAAUGAGAAACCAGCAAGGAACUGAGCUUGGCUCCCUGGCUCACAUAGACAUGGAACAGAGAUCACAAAUGUGAGUGGAGGAGCCAGACUUUUCAUAUAAGCACAUAAGCAUCUGCGAUUUAUACAACUCCUUGGGAGGGAAAGCUUAUGGUUUCUUAAGGCUCUGGAAAUGUGAAUUCUAGGAAGCCUACUUGCUUCUUUAAGAUCAUGAGAACCUAGCUGACCUGAAAGCCACACUUAACACUCAAUGCAACCUUGGCAUUUUCUUCCUUAGAUGGAAAACUUGUGAAGUUGGCUGAUCCAAGAAUAGAUUCAAAUUCUUCAGCCAAGAGUCUAGACCAACUGACUUUUUCCACCUCGUUGCCUAAUUGGGUGCUAAGUACUGGCAAGUUAUUAGAUGAUUCCAAAGCUCAUGUUCUUCACCUGGAAAACGGAAAUCAUAAAUCCAAAGGAAUGAUGUCACACAGAUUGAAUGAGAUUUGCGUGUGAAGAGGCCAGCAAACAGGAGCGGGAAUGCCAGCACGCCUGACAAAGCCUUAUCUGAAAAUAUGUUCGAGAUCCGUGCUCCUGCCGGGUUUCAGGGAUCAGCCGGCAAUCCAUUUCAUGGAUAACAUCAUCCUUUACCAGGGGAAACAUUAAAAAUUAACCCAGAGGACUUCAUAUUUUUCUGCUAGGAGCAAAGCUGCUAUGGUUACCAGAUAAUGCACCGACUGAGCUGGAAUACAGAUAAGGACUUUUUUUUUUUUUUUUUUAAAUAUAAGAAAGGCAAAGGCCCCAGUGAUGGCUCACAAGAGAAAUGCCCUGUGGACAAAGAGAAUACAGUCAGCCUCAGAGCUUGGCAGAAGGCGUUUGACUCCAGGCAGUAUCUAACCUAUUAAGUAGAGGCCAGGAGCUUGUUUGAUCUUUGCCCGGAUGAGGAAGGCAGGGAGGGGGUGUUGGGAGAAGUGGGAGGCAAAGCUAGGAGGAACUUGGAAGUAUGGGUGCACCCCUAGACCCCAUUUCUCACCACACUCUCACACAAUGCACACUUACAUGCACAUACAUGUACUACUCAUUGACUUUAGAAGGCUUUACGCUAAUGCCAAAGGUCUUCUCUCCACCUCUAGCUACUUGAUGUGACCAAGCCAAGACUCCCUGAUUCUUACAGAGGAUAUGGGCACCCUGUGGGCAGACGCCAGGGCAGGCCACUAGAGAGCUGCGACAGGCAUUGACCUUCCUGCCUCUAACAUCCAGGCCCUUGGGGAGAAACUUCAAGAGGAUUAGAGGUCAGAGAAGUUGUUGGCUUUACCUCAGGUGAGAGUAUCCCAUGUUUCUGUCUAUCCUGCGUGAGAUAGGAAGGCCACGGGUAGAUGGAUGUGAACUCAGAUGGGCUGGGGAGGGGAAGCUGGAAGAGCCCAUGAUAAUCAGGCAAUGGUAUUCUUGGUUUUGAGCCUCAAGAGGUGAGAUGUUUGCAUCUUAUUAGAUCCAGCAAAUUGCGGGGAGGCUCAAGAAAUAAGUUCCAGGGUGUUAAGGAGCUCUAUGUGUGGGCUGUGCCACUAGCUCCCUGGGUGAAAUUGAGCAAGUCUCUUUCUCUCUCUGGCCUCCGUUUUCUCUGCUGAAAAGUACAUGGCUGGGAGUAGAUGGUCCAUAGUUCCUUCCUGCUGCAAACACCUGUACACCUUGGAGGGGAAGUGAUAUUCAGACGUAUCCGAAAAACACAGGGGAGAAGCCUAGGCUCACUGGGCCGGGAACAUGACCCUAAUCCCAGAGCCGGGCAGGGUGCAGCCCCUUCCUGGACCUGAUGACAAGAAAGCAGGGGGCACUGCCCCUCCAAGGACAGCCAGGAACACAGCCUGCUUCCACCCCAUGCUUAUUUUACUGCUUCCCACUACUUUCCCAAUAACCAUUUACUGAGCCCCUACUGUGUGCUAUCCUCAUUUUUGUCUCUGCACAGGAGUUAUCUGGGAACCUUCAUGGGAAUUACCAGAGGGUAGAACCUGUGUCUGCACUGUCUUGUGUUCCAAGGCCCAGCAUAGAGAACACUUGUUUUACUAAACUUCAGGUUGAGAGUCAGCUGUGUGGGGAAUGGAAGGGGUUGCUAGGCAGGCCUGUAGCCUUGCCAUGGAGUCAUGGGAGUCACCUUACACUUCUGGUCUGUUCUUUCUAGGUUCUUUAUAUGAGAAAAGGAGCCAAGAUCCCAGCUUGUGUCUAGGUUUGGACCAGAGCCUUCAGGGGAACAAAGGUCCUUAGGACCAGUAGAUCAGAAGCAGGGAGGCUGGCUGGUGGGGUCAGGGCCCUGAGGUCCAGCCACCUCCACCUCAGGAAGAGUAUUUGCUCUAGAAUGUCAGCUAGGAGCUUUCUGCCCAGGCUCAGCUUACAUCCAUCAGUGCCGCGUUGAUGUAAUUGCUGGAUUCUCCGUCCACCGAGAUGAGGAAGGGCAGGCAGCGGUCCAGAGGCAGCACGUCCAUGCUUCGAUUCUUAUCAUGGUUCCGGGGCAGGAGCCCAAUGCUGCAGUCCUCGGGCCUCACACGGGGUGUCACAAUGUUGAGGGUCUGUGGGGCACAAAGGUGAAUAGAUAGGCCUUGAUCAUACGGCUGCCCCGAGCAAAAGAGACAGUGAUGUUCCAACUCAGCCUAACUUGCCUAUUUCCACCCUCCAAGUGCAGCCCCACUGUCCCUUUCCCAGGACCCAUUUCUCUUCCAUGGUGAUGUUCUGUCCUCUCCUGCUCACUGCUACAGGGUGCGUGAGCUGUGUGACACCUUCAAAACGCUAAGGCUGCAGAAGCAGCGCAUGCACACAGAGGCUCAGACACAGUCUCGUGGUACCUGCCAACCAGAGGAACUAAGUGGUUCAGCUUAGCCAGUGCUGCAUUAAAGGGUGGGCCAGCCAGGAGGGUGUACAGAGGGGCGGGGGUAGGAAAUCCCCACUGAGGGCUAAACAUCACUUGCAUUGUCAUGGAAUGGGGGAAAUGAUUUACCAGCACUCUUCUCAGAGAGAAAGCUGUCUGAGUAUGGAAGGAGGCCUAGAUGAACUGCUCAGGAUAGAUGAGAGACCCCCGAAGGGCAAACCCUAAUAUGUCUGGGAAAUUGCUGUGUUUGGGUUCUGGUUUGAGGCCAGAGCUGAACUGCUGUAUCCAAUGGACUAGAUGUUACACGCAAUGACUAGAGUUCUGUACCCUCCAUCCUUCCGUCAUUCAGCUCUCUGUCUCUAAUUCAAAUCAAUAAUGGUUAUUUGUUUUAGGGAUUGCUAAGGUAUUGGCCUGCCUAGGAUAUCUGCCCGUGGAACAAUGGGCCUGGCAUUUGCCCACUGACUUGAAGCAAGACCUGGAGCUUCCUUGCUUUCUCAUACCUCGUUCUCAGCUCCUAUUGCCCAGGUGUAAUCCUGACACUGGUCUUGCGAUAAAGGGCUGGACUCCGGCUUUACCUUACUUAGUGAUUCAUGUCCAGGCUUCUUAGACCAAUCAAUGUUGCCACAGCACUGACCAUACGGGCUUCCAGGUGAGGAUCUUAUUUAUUUUUUAUUAUACUUUA